rnacentral:rRNA from 1 species
AUACGGAGGGGGCUAGCGUUGUUCGGAAUUACUGGGCGUAAAGCGUACGUAGGCGGACUGGAAAGUUGAGGGUGAAAUCCCGGGGCUCAACCCCGGAACUGCCUCCAAAACUUCCAAUCUAGAGAUCGAGAGAGGUGAGUGGAAUUCCAAGUGUAGAGGUGAAAUUCGUAGAUAUUUGGAGGAACACCAGUGGCGAAGGCGGCUCACUGGCUCGAUACUGACGCUGAGGUACGAAAGCGUGGGGAGCAAACAGGAUUAGAAACCCUAGUAGUCC